rnacentral:rRNA from 1 species
UACGUAGGGUGCGAGCGUUAAUCGGAAUUACUGGGCGUAAAGCGUGCGCAGGCGGUUCGUUAAGUUCGUUGUGAAAGCCCCGGGCUCAACCUGGGAACUGCAAUGGAAACUGGCGGGCUUGAGUGUGGCAGAGGGGGGUGGAAUUCCGCGUGUAGCAGUGAAAUGCGUAGAGAUGCGGAGGAACACCGAUGGCGAAGGCAGCCCCCCUGGGCCAACACUGACGCUCAGGCACGAAAGCGUGGGGAGCAAACAGG